rnacentral:sRNA from 1 species
UUGUUUUGAAAGUUUUGAAUAUAAAUUAGGGAAUUUAAUGAAAAAAACCCUUAACUUUGGCCAGAUCCAUUUUAAACCCUAAACUAUGUUUUUAGUAAAACAAACCCUGAACUAAAACCUGUUAAUAAACUUAACUCCACAGUAAUUAAUUAUUAAUGGGAUAUUAAUUUCUAAAAAAAAAAACAACGAGACAUUUGUAUUUAGCGCAAAAACCACAUGAUGUUCUUUAAAACUAUUUUGAAUUUAUUACAAAAAAACGUUCUAAAUGAUUUUGAAUUGCUUAAUUAGUUUGGAUUUUAGAAGCUGAAAGAAAGACACAACAACUUAAAAUAAUCCAAAGAGUCAUACUUAAAUAAAUCCAACCAACAUAACUAUCGAAGCUGUUGCAACACAACAAUAUUUGUCACAAAAAAAACAAUCGUUUCAGAGGGACAAGAUAUUCUAAAGUAAAGACUUGUCAAGCAUUAACUUUGAAGAGAAGAUUGUAUUGGCUGAGUGAUAGGGUUCUCUUCAUCCAUUGUUUUCUGUUUUUUCCUUGGUCGUCUUUGAGGUUUCUUGGGUGGUUUUGGCACUGCUUUACGCUUGCAUGAACGUUUGUUGUGUCCGACUUGUUGAUAGUUGCUACAAGUCUAAAUAUGCAAAGAUUAAAUUAAAUAAUUUGAAAAGGAAGAUCUUGUGAAACAUAAUUCAUUGUUUUCUAUUUUACCAUUUGAACUUUUUCACGUGUAUAAAGAACUUUUUGAGGUGGACGAUCUUCAGUUGGAUCACGGAUUCUGUCAUUGUUCUUUGGUCGAUUUUUGGAAAUUAAUAUCCCAUUAAUAUUUAAUUACUGUGGGGUUAAGUUUAUUAACAGGUUUUAGUUCAGGGUUUGUUUUACUAAAAAUAUAGUUCAGGGUUUAAAAAUGGAUCUGGCCAAAGUUGAGGGUUUUUUUUAUUAAAUUCCCUAUAAAUUAUGAGAAAACAAAGACAGGUCUGCCUUUGCUGGGGGU